GCAAGCGUUGUCCGGAAUCAUCGUGGCGUAAAGGGUGCGUAGGUGGCCCGGUCAGCGUGCGGUGAAAGCUCGGGGCUCAACCCCGAGUCGGCCGUGCGAACUGCUGGGCUUGAGCACUGUAGAGGCAGGCGGAAUUCCGGGUGUAGCGGUGGAAUGCGUAGAGAUCCGGAAGAACACCGGUGGCGAAGGCGGCCUGCUGGGCAGUGGCUGACACUGAGGCGCGACAGCGUGGGGAGCAACAGG
rnacentral:rRNA from 1 species